CCUACGGGAGGCAGCAGUGGGGAAUUUUGGACAAUGGGCGCAAGCCUGAUCCAGCAAUGCCGCGUGCAGGAUGAAGGCCUUCGGGUUGUAAACUGCUUUUGUACGGAACGAAACGGUUCGCUUUAAUACAGUGGGCUAAUGACGGUACCGUAAGAAUAAGCACCGGCUAACUACGUGCCAGCAGCCGCGGUAAUACGUAGGGUGCGAGCGUUAAUCGGAAUUACUGGGCGUAAAGCGUGCGCAGGCGGUUUUGUAAGACAGAUGUGAAAUCCCCGGGCUCAACCUGGGACCUGCAUUUGUGACUGCAAGGCUAGAGUACGGUAGAGGGGGAUGGAAUUCCGCGUGUAGCAGUGAAAUGCGUAGAUAUGCGGAGGAACACCGAUGGCGAAGGCAAUCCCCUGGACCUGUACUGACGCUCAUGCACGAAAGCGUGGGGAGCAAACAGGAUUAGAUACCCUGGUAGUCCACGCCCUAAACGAUGUCAACUGGUUGUUGGGUCUUCACUGACUCAGUAACGAAGCUAACGCGUGAAGUUGACCGCCUGGGGAGUCGGCGCAAGGUUGAAACUCAAAGGAAUUGACGGCNGAGAGNGCGAGGACGACGACGAGGGAGGAGG
rnacentral:rRNA from 1 species